GGGGGUGUGGCUCAGUGGUAGAGUGCUUGCCUGGCAUGCAAGUAACCCUGGGUUAGAUUCCUAGCAUCCCCC